UGCCAGCACCCCGAGUGGUCGGGGCGUUUAUUGGGCCUAAAGCGUCCGUAGCCGGUUCUACAAGUCUUCCGUUAAAUCCACCUGCUUAACAGAUGGGCUGCGGAAGAUACUAUAGAGCUAGGAGGCGGGAGAGGCAAGCGGUACUCGAUGGGUAGGGGUAAAAUCCGUUGAUCCAUUGAAGACCACCAGUGGCGAAGGCGGCUUGCCAGAACGCGCUCGACGGUGAGGGAUGAAAGCUGGGGGAGCAAACCGG
rnacentral:rRNA from 1 species